AGGAAAAGGAGAAGGAGAAGGAGAAGGAGAUGGAGAUGAGAAUGGCAAGAAGAACAAAACGCACUGAUUUGGCACCGCUGCUGGAGACGACACAGGGGAAGUGGCUUUGGCUGGAGAGAGCCGCUGGACACCAGGACGAGCUGUAGCUGAAUAUCUGUCUUUGGAGGCCAAACCAGGAAGAGGUGAUGUCAUGAUGGCUAUCGCUUACAAUGCUCCAGCCAGCUCCAGAUGUACAGACCCCCCUUCUCUCCUGAGGUAUGAUGACCUCAGCCUGGUUCUACAGAGGGAACAUCUGCUUGAUGAUCUGGUUAGCAGGAUGCAGACGUCAUGGAAAUACCUUUGGCAAGAAGAUCCAGCUAAAUACUAAAUAUACUGCUUGAAACUGUGACCUUUACAUUCUUCAGCGCUGCAUCAGAUGACUCAGCAUAUAUUCUCACUCCAAUAAUGAUCUAUCACAAGAUGUCCAGUCCAUUGGAAAACACGCUAUCAAAUUAAACCUUUUAUUAGU